GAAUGUAGCGUCUAGAGUGGAGGUGUUGGAGCGGCUUUUGCAUUGAGUUUUGGAGCCAUUCUGGAAAUUGUUUGCAGUUGUUUUGGGACUUUUUGGUGCAUUUCUCAAGCUGUGGAAAGGUAGAGAGCUGAGCUUCAUUGUUUGCAUGCCUUUUAUUGUGUGUUCUGCAUUGUGGGUUGGUUUCCAAGCCUCCAGAACGGAUUAAUUGGCUUUCAAUGCAUUCCUAUGGGAAAACGUGUUUCGGUUUACAAAUUUUUCGCACUAAGAAACAUCCCGGAGAACGCAUUAAAUUCCUAAACCAAGGUCCCACUGUACUUUUAAGAAUUUGACUAGCAUACUGUUAGGGAAUAUGGAGCUUUACAUUGAUUUUUUAUUUUAGAUCUUUUAGAAAAUGUUUUUGGUUUUCUUUUUACAUUACUUGAUAUGAUAACAUUAUAAAUCUGGUUAGAGCAUUGGAAAUGUCACUGUCUUGGAACUAGGAAACCCAGGUUUGAUUCCUCACCACUAAGUGUCUACCUAAUUCAAAUCCGUAUAGAUUGUAAACUUGUUUGAGCAGGGCCUUCUUCACCUCUAAAUAUCCCCUUUUCUAUAUUUGUAAAGUGCUGUUGAAUAUGAUGGCACUAUAUACAUGAUAAUAAAAAUUAUAUCUUGUAACUUAUUUAAGGGCAGCACUGUAUAAUGGACAAAUGAUUUUAUUUGAGUCAACCACAAAAAAACAGAGGUCUGUGAAGGUUGAAAUUGUUAAACUAGGUAGAAACUUGGUAGAAUCCAUGUGUGUUCAGGUAAUUUCAGUUGUGGUGUGAUAAAACCCUUAUGAUGAUGUUAUGUUUCAGCUUUAGAAAGAUCUCACUGGUGAGAAAUGAUUGCAUCUUCCCAGAAAUGGAAGAUAAGGACGCAAGAUUGGCAGGUUAUCCGGGCAGAAUGGUUGGACAACGAAAGGGCCUGUGCCCUUUUCAUCUCAUCUUUAAGGUGGAUGUCCAAAGGGAGUUGUUUGUCUGUUCUGCCAGCUCUGAGGAUACCUCCGGUACUACGCUGCACUGAUUAGGGUAAUUUCUCAGGUAUCCCCAGAUUGAGAGCAUGAGAGAACAAAUACACGAUGGUGGGACAGAAGUCCAAAAUGGGGAAAGUCCUGCCACAUCUUGGACAGUUGUGAGGUAUGUCAUGUAUAGGAUAACAAUUAAAGGAUUGGGAGAAAAAGAUGGUUUCUCUUUCCAACAAGCAGAAAGGCUGGAAGAAGAGUUCCCACCACUCCCACAGUCUUGUUUAUAUAUUAGAUACUUCUAGCACUGGGGACCAUGUAGUAAUAAUAUUCUUUAUGACUUCAACUAGAUGUAAUUUGGAGAUCAAGUAUAUCUGAAGGAUUUAACAUUAAUCUGAAGCAAAUAAUAAAUGGCAGUAGAAACAGAUGAUAGUUUUUCUGAUGACUAUUGGCAGAUACUGAGUGGGUCAUUCUAGGUUCAGAGUACACAACUGGCUAUUUUAAUAUAGGGCUUGGAAAAGGUGUUGUUUUUUUUAAGAUCAUGCCGUACUCAAAACAGAAAUUGGUCUAGUCCAUGGUCUGGUCCAGAAGGCGCUAAUCUAGAUUUGAAUAUGCAAUUAGCUUUUUCAUAACUGUAUUAUUACUAAUGUCUAUAUAUAGUCCCCUGGAUAAGGGCGCUUUGUCAAUAACCUUAUAAAUAAAUAAACAUGUAUAUAUUUUGUGACUAUAUAGUCUUUCUUUUUUUCUUUUUAUCGAAUGAAUAUCUCUGACAAUAACAUGGGGGGUACACAACACUUAAAACAUGUUUAAAUAUUAUCAAACGUUUUUAUUUUUUCCUUCGGGUUCUUUUUUUUAUAUGGUUUGGGGUAUAAGCAAAGCAAACUUCAUUUGGCCAGUAGUGGAGCUGGGUAGAUUAGUAUAAAGCUAGGGUCAUUUGAAGUUUAUUCAUAAAACUAACUCCUGUGACUCAAUUCUGCUAUUUCCUACUUGGAAAUUCCCAGUUUAACAAAUAAACUAAUUUUCUCACGUAUUUCCCCCAAAUCAGCGCUGCGUCAGGCAAAUGUAUACUGAGCACUCUGAAUAAUUGGGGAAUGCAGUUAACAUAUUUAACCUCCUUUUUGAUUCUCGUUGUUGCAGCAAUAAUAUUAUAAUUUGCAGAUUUUUAAAAACAUGGAAAAAAAAUCUGCCUAUCAGGAAAGAGGAGGGACUUUGUGUUCUAAGCACAAGAUGUGUAUUGUACGAAUAUUAAAUAUUUUUUAGAAUAUCUGACGCUUUACAAAAAACAAAAAUACAUAUUUUAUGAACAAUUGUAUUCUCUGUUAUUUAUUUUUUUGUUGUGAUUUUUUUAGUGAAACACUUCAACAGUAACAGAAUUAUUUUAAUAGAGUGCACUACUUAUACCUCAACGUUUGAUGGUAAUGGUAGAAUUCUGAAAGACAAGCAAUCUAUACUGUUUGUUUAGCACUGAAUGAAAAAAAAACAGCUUGACACCAUUAUACAAGUAAAAUACAGUGUUUGCUAAUCACAACCAUAAAGACUAAAAAUGUAAUAAAUAGUUUAUACAUAAUGAAACAUUAAGAUGGAGAAUAGGCAUAUUUUGAAAGAUAAAACAGCUUAAUAAAACUUUGGAAAAACAUACUUCCAUUCUUUUUAAACACAAUAUUCUUCACUACCCAAUGACAAAGCAAUUCAAACUCUGAGGAGGCGCACCUCAAACAUUCCUUACUGGAACAAGUUAAGUUAAACGCUGCAGCGAUACACUUUCAUUCUGCCAGGCUCACAUUGCAGCAGUAAUGACUGCAGUAGUUAAGGCCAUUCUAGGAUUAAGAUAUGAUUGACACCGACUGAUGUUUUCUGAACUAUAAAAACAUUCUGCAAGAAUUAUUCUAAAGAAGAAAAAAAAUGGAUGGGGUCUGGCAUGAGUGGGCGUUUCAAAAUACCAUAAAGUACCACUGAAUUUUUUUUUAAUGUUUGAGGCAGAAAAACUGUCAAUUUUGAGUAAUGAAUCCAGACAAAUGGCAAAAUGAUUGUUUUUGCAGGACACCCUCCAAUCUGUGAUGACAUACUUAUGUGUACUGUUAAAACAACAUCGGCCAAAGUUUAAUAGGUGUUCUCAAAGUUAUUCCAUUUUACAGUAUUUUUUAUUGUUAGAAUGGCUUAAAGAGACACUAUAGUCACCAAAACAACUUUAGCUUAAGGAAGCAAUUUUGGUGUAUAGAUUAUGAUCCUACAGUCUCACUGCUCAAAUCUCUGCAAUUUAGGAGUUAAAUCCCUUUUAUUUCUGUCCAUGCCGCCCUAGUCACACCUCCCCUGGCUGUGACUCACACACCAUGCAUGGAAAAAAAUGGUUUCACUUUCAAUUAGAUUAGAAUUUGCAAUGAAGGAAGUAAACAUUAGCUGACUCUUUACAGGAAAUGUUUCGGAAGGCUGUGCAAGUCCCAUGCAGGGAGGCGUGACUAGGGUGCAUAAAUAAAGUGAUCUAACUUCUAAAUGGCAAAGAAUUGAGCUGUGACACUGCAGGGAAAUGGUCUAUACACCAAAACUGCUUCAAUAAGCUAAAGUUGUUUUGGUGACUAUGGUGUCCCUUUAAGGUGGAAAGUGAGAAAUGGUGGAUAUAAGGUAUAUGGCUGUUUGUUCCUAUUAUAUAUUCAUUUUAAAUAUCCUAACCCUUGUUAUGGUCAACAAAUUAUCUUUUUGUUUCUAGCUUUAUGGGAAAGUCGUUUAGCAGUUAUUUAAUAAAAUGGAAAGUGCGGAGGAAUGAACUGCAAAUGUUGAUCUAGAAUAUAAACAAUAGAAGAUAACUAAAUUGGAGAGUUUUUUCCCUUGUCAAUUCUUUACAAUUCCUAAAUAAGUGAAAACAUGUUUUAAUCAAUAAAUAGUGAUGAGUGGUGAAUUUAAAACAGAACUUCAAUUGUUGGGCUUUUUUUUUUGUCAAGAUUUUAUUUUCCACAGGUAUGCUGUAUCAGCCUAAAUUUGAAAUGCACACAUUUCAAUUUGGAAGUUUCAUUUUCUUAAUAAUAAACCUUUAGAAAUCAAAGUCUAUGUAAUGUCCCUGGCAAACUUGUUAUAAGUAGACAGAUACAACACACUGUAACACUUUGAAAAAGCCUUGCUAACAAGUGAAACGCGUUAGUGUUUUAUGCAGUCUUUUUUUGCUAUAUUGUUUUAUUUUAUUAAUCUCCAAUAAAGAUAGCGAAUAUUAGCUAUUUUGGUGCCUUCCAGCCUAUCCUUUUUAACGUCACAAUUUCAUCAUUAAGAACCUGAGGACUCGCAAGUGAUAUCCUUGGUGGGGAUUAUUCCACCUACGCUUCCUAUACUGAGCAAUAUUCCCUUUGCUCCCCGCAUGUGAGUAUACCUCCACUUUUUAUCCUAGUUUUAUUCCAGACUAUACAGGGAGCACUAUAUUGUGUUUUUAUUUCUCCUCCUAUACACUGAGGAUACCGGUUUGUGGCACUGACACCAGAACACCCUGACCCCAAAGAAGCCUCUGAGAGUACACCAGGACCAUCAUCAUAUCCUAGGACGGGGAUUGUACCCUCCAGGCGCAUAUAUCUGGAGCUGAAUAUAAGCUCCAGAAAAUUGUAAGUGCAAUAUUUUUUUCUUCAUUUAUCACUAUCAAGCAAUUCAACAUACUACACUAUAUCCAUGUCGUCUCUUCUCUCCCCUAUAUUUCACUGAGCUUGAGAAGACUACUAUAGGCGCUGCUUCCUGACACUACCUUCUAUAACUACCAUUCUGCCAGAAAAGAAGAGACUUUAGUUCCAGGGAAGUUCUAGCAGCCUUAUCACAAGCACUAAUACAUUCCAUCCCCCAAUUUCUUACCUGGGGAAUAACUAUCCACACAUUCUCACAGAGAAUAUUAGUAGUUUGAUAAUAAAUAUCAAUCUUUUCUUUAACUUAUACAAAGGCUAUAUACAAUCUAACUAUAAAGUAGAACUGUCACAUAUCUGGAAGUGACAGCUAUUUGUCCCCUUACCUCACAGUAAUUGCUAUUGAAGUUUUUACUGUAAAUGUAAAUAGUGAGGCAGAUUUUAACGGAAAGGAACACUCAAAGCACCAUAACCACUACAGAACACCUGUAAGCAUAAAAAAUGCACUUACCUCCUUCUGCGCUCAGGGUGAAAUUGACAAACCGUAACGCUUCAGGCAUGCGCAUGCACCUAGGCACCUGCUAAAAAAUUAUAUCCUUUCUUAGUUCUAAUCUCGGGCAUAUGUCAACACAUUUAGCACUGUAAGGGUUAAGUUAGCAUGGUAUGUUUCCACUGUGUCCAGCAAGUCAUGAACUCCAUGUAAACUAAAACUGUUAAAAAUUGCAAAAGAAAAAUUGUACAUUUUAACUUUAGUUAAAUAUAGGGUUAUACAUAAGUCUAACAUGUGACAAUUCCACUUUAAUCCCAUAAUGUUCACCAUUUUGGACGCACUAAGAAAUGUUACUAUGUUAAUUUGAAGAGACAGAAGCAAUACAAAAGUAAAGGAAUUCUGGCAAACUCAGUUUCCAUGUAACUGUAACCACUCGGCAGAGGCAUAACUACAAACCACGGGGCCCAGUGCGAAAAUUAGGUCUACCCUCCCAUAGGUCUACUCCCCCCCCCAUUCAUCUACUUCCCCCCCCAUACAUCUAAUUCUCCCCUUCCCCAAUAUGUCCACCCCCCUCACCACAAACACAUGCAGACAAACAGAUACACAUGCAGACACACACACACACACACAUACAUACAGACACACAUACAUAGAGACACACACACAUAUACAUACAGACACACAUACACACAGACAUACACACACAGUGACACAUACACAUACAUACAGACACACAUACACAAACACACACAUACAUAUAUAGAGACACAUACAUACAGACACACAUACAGAGACAUACAUACAGACAAACAUACACUAACACACACACAUGCAAAAUGUUUAAGUCACCCUCCUCUUUCCUACCUUUUAGGUGCAGGAGGGUGACUUUCCCUGGGGUCCAGUGGUGGCUCAGGCUGAAGGGAGUCAGAGUUCCCACUCCUUCCUCCCGCGUGGCUCUCUCUAAUAGCUGGGAGGAGUGGCUGUCACUUCCCCCCAUGUUUGAUGUCAUCACAGGGAGCCAGGUCGCGCUGUUAAAGCAGCGCUGAGCGGGGCACUCUGGAUAUUCAUUGCUAUCAGGAGGCCCUAACAGCAUGGGCCACCCGAUGGACCCUUUCAAUGUGGCCCGGUGGUUACACUGCAUGGGCCGGGGCUGCAACACAUGGCGGCGGGCACCCGGUCUCAGGGUUCUGCAAGGCGGCCGAGCCCCCUGAAAUGAUUGGCCCAGUCACAGCUGCAACCCCUGCAACCACGGUAGUUCCAGCAGUGCCACUUAGUAAGUCUUUGUAAGCCUUAAACAAUGGUUUAAUGGUUUAUUGAAGGAAGCAGGUGAACUCUGUUAAAGUGCUGUUAAAGCGCUGCAGUGCUGAGCGGGGCACCCUGGAUAUUCAUUGCCACCAGGAGGCCCUAACAGCAUGGGCCACCCGAUGGACCCUUUCAAUGCGGCCCGGUGAUUACACUGCACGGGCCGGGGCCACAACACAUGGCGGCAGGCACCCACCUGAAGUGAUGGGCCCUGUCACAGCUGCAACCCCUGCAACCGCGGUAGUUCCAGCAGUGCCACUCAGUAAGUCUUUGCAAGCCUUAACCAAUGGUUUAAUGGUUAAUUGAAGGAAGCAGGUGAACUCUGUUUUAUAUAUAUAUAUAUAUUAUUAUGUUUUUCAUAAAAAGUUUUUUUUAUUUUAUUGAACUUAUGAUGAAAAAACUCAAUAGUUUUUUAUUUGUAUUCUUUCUUGUCAGUGCUGAUUUAAAUCUCUCUCAAGACAUUCAUUAAAGUGUGAAUUGUCAGGAAUUUAGAGUUAUUUCUAAGUAAAUUUUACAUUUUGGGACAAAAUGGCUGAAGUGAAAAAAUUCUCUAAACCAGCUAGACUUUCAAUUCAGCUAGUUUGGAGUGAAAUUUAAAAUUCACAGGUUUAUUCACUAAACUCUUAAUUGCAACUAAUUGAAAUUUGAAUUGCAGAAUGUGUGCUAAAAUACCUAAUUUGGAGAAAUCUCGAACUUAGCUAUAGUCAAAGUUUGGCCAUUUUAACUUUUUUUUGUUUGUUUGCUCAUUUUUUUGCUCUUUGGUUUCAAUUCGGAUUUUAUUCACAAAACAGCUGAUUGCAGCAAACUCAAAUCUGAAUGGCAAAAUAAAGGCUAAAAGAACAAACUGUGACUUUUUUUCUAAUUCGGCUAAUUUAUCCUUCAAUUUUCAUCCGACAGGGAGGCUAACGCGCAUGUGCAUUGCUUCAAUGCUUUCCAAAGGGGUUUUACUGACGCUGGAUGUCCUAAUGCAGAGCGUGAGAACAUCCGGUAUCGGUUAGGCAAACAAAAGUCACCUAGCAAGCAGGAAGUGCCUCUAGUGGCUGUCUGAUUGACAGCCACUAGAGGCAGUCUUAGUACUGCCAUGUAAUCAUUGCCGUUUCUCAAACUUGCUAAAAGAGCCAAACCAGGAUUCGAGUUGAGUUGGAGAAAUUUGCGAAAUCAACUAAAUUUUUUUAUAUUUGGCUGCCCAGUUUUUUAGCUGCCAUUUGUAAUUUAGUAAAUAAACCCCUUGCUGUUAAUGUAACCAGUAAUAAACUAAGGAAAGUUAACCAGGCGUUGUUUGAUGAGCCUUGGAAAAAAAAAGAAAUCGGUUACCUAUUGCUUAAAUACAUUUUUACACUCAAGAUAAACACAUUUUUCUCGCAAUUAUGCCCCAUUCUUCCACAUGAUGACCUUCAGUCUGAAAAUGAACAUUUAAACUUUUCUAAAAAAAUACGGAAAGUGUACAUAGAGACUUGUAUUUUCGUGACACUAAUUGUGUCUUUUCUUGCAGUUCUUUACCAUAUUUCUUGGAAAACAGCAGCUGUGUUUGUUCAGAUCGAAGCAUAUGCAUGACUUGAUGAUAGAGUAAUCUGUAAGAAUUCCUAGAGUCGCCAUUCUUUAUGGCUUCUGAGAAUAACAAGCAGUGUGCUUUGUGGGGAUAAAGAACCAUAAAGUCAUGAGUAAUUAUUACAUUACCCCUAUGGAUAUUGUAUUAUCUGUCUAGUAAAGACAUUGUUAAACAAUCAUAUGUUGCAUUAUUAUAACACAAUACAGAAACAGUCCUUAUUAUUGUAUUAUAUAUUGUCUUCACACAGAAUGUUUUGAUUUUCUGGUAGUUGUUAUUAAUGCAUAUUAGCCUGUCGAUAACAGGACAACAAUGAGAGAAACCAUAAUGUAUUAUUAGCGCUUUACAAAUAUACAAAGGGGUACUUAAAAGGUGAAGAAGGUUCUGCUCAAAUGAGGGUUUGAGGUAGGUGGAUAUUUAUCCUUAGGUGUCUUAUCCAAGGACACUUACUGGUAAGGGUUCUAAACAGCCUAUUUAUAUUUAUUUUAAAAUAUUUUAUACUGGAAUGUCCAUACUGUUAGCAGUCACAGCAUGAUUUUAAUUGCUAUAAUAUACAUUUCAAAGAGAUGAAAUCAUGUUUCUGAAUUGGAGAAUUUGGAAUCUACUCAUAAGCUAUUACCCCCUAAACCAGGGGUCGGCAACCAUCGGUAUUCCAGACAUUGUGCACAGAGCAGCCAGGGCUGAAGCGCCCUACGACAGUUUCCUGGUGUCCUCAGGUGUGCUACACUGGAGAACUAAAUCAAGAUGGUGGGAUAUAACCCCAAAAUUGGGACUGCUCUACCAAAAUCGUGACUUUUAGUGGAACAUAGUUUCCAAGUGAAGACAUGGAGAGGCCAGCAGAGGCACAGCAUUAGUUGUACUUAUCAAAAAGAGGAAUGUUUGUGCAUUUAAAUAAAAUAAUAUUGUGGCACUCAUAUUUUGUCAUAUUCUGAGUGAUCCAUAUAAAUAUAUCAAAUUAGACAAAGUAUAGUAAAAUGUAUGGAUUUAUAAUAUAGAGAGAGAACACUGGUCAUAGUGUUUUGAUUUUAUGUUUCCCUUAUUCCCUCUGUAAUGCGUUCAGGAUAAUUAUUUUUGUGUGAAUAGGUAGCUGUUUUAACUAUCCAUGCAUGACAUUACUUAACACCGUCAUUAAGUAAAUGUGGUGUUUUCUGCUCAUGGUAACAGGGGAAAGUAAAAAGCUGUAAGGACCACCCUAGUUUGAAACCAACUCAUCAUUUACUCUAAGAAUCCUCUGUAAAGAGCAAACAUUUGGAAAACUAAAUAAAAAGUGAAAUAGGCGACACAGUUCAUUGGAUGAAAUUUCCCCCCCCCCCCAAAAAAAAAAAAACCUGCCAUCUUUUCUCGAAGAAGAAGAAGAAGAAAUUAAACUCCUAAACUCCAGAACGUACUUUCUCUGUAGUCAGGUACCCUUUACGAACAAUUAAAAAUAAAAAAUCCAAUCACUGGAUAUGUUUCAACAUUUUAACUACGCCUUUAAUUUCUCACAGGAGCAAACAUCCAUUUUCUGAACCCAGGACAAUUAAUCACAUGGAAUUUAAUCAGUAGGGUAUGCUGGGAGUGUUUUUACAAAAAGAAACAACAAAUGUGUACAUUGCUACUAUUAUAACAUCAAGUUGACUGAAACAAACACCUGAGCAUUGAAUAAAUUGCUUGGCUCUCAUUCUAGAUUCAUUUCUACUUUGAGAAAUGUAUUCACCAAAGAAUUCACUAAUGUUGAUACUUUGCCAGCCUACGCUAUGCGCACCCUUAGGUGUACAGGCAGUGAAACCAUUUACAACGCAUUUCAUUUCACAGGUUCUAUGCUGUAAUAUCUGUCAUUUAUGUUAUUCAAUGCACUACACUAGAUCAUUUAUGUUUAACCCCUUAAAACCGGAGGGCGUACUAUUACUCCCUAUUCUAAGCAGCUCUAAAUGCCGCAGUACGCCCUCACGGUUUUUGUUACUUACUCGGGAUCCCAGGGAGUCCCCCGCGGCGGAUCCUGCCCCCUCCGGUCCCCCCCCCCGGCCAUGUGAGAGUGAGGUCCUUGUGAGGGUUAGCUGGCUGCUGCAUUGCCAGCAGGGGGACUGCCUGUAAUGACAGUUAGUCCCCCUGCUGGCUGGAAAUCAAAUCAAAUAAAGUUAAAAUCAGUGUAAAAAAACCCCCAAAAUUAUAUACUUAGAUCAUAUAUAUAUAUAUGAUCUAAGUAUAUAUAUACACAUAUACAUACACACACAUACACUGUCUAGGUAUUUAUAUAUAUAUAUAUAUAUAUAUUAAUAUCAAAUUGCACGUAGACUGAUAUUGAUUAAAUAUAUAUAUAUAAUUAUUGUUUUAUAUAUAUAUAUAUAUAUAUAAUAUAAAAAAAUAAUGUAAAUACGUUAAAAAUAAAAAUUUUAAAUAAUGAAAAAUAAAUAAUUAAAAAAUAUAUAGAUGUGUGUUAUUUCGUUCUUACUGUAUUGUGAUAUUAAUAUAUAUAUUUAUAUCAAAAUACACAUAGACGAAAUAAUAUAUCUAGAUAUAUAAAUAUAUACGUAUAUAUCACUAUAUAUAAAUAAAAAUAUUUUUAAAAAAUUAUAUAUAUAUGUAUAUUGACAUAUAUAUACACAUACGUAUGUAUAUAUAUAUAUAUAUACAUAUAUAUAUAUAUAUACAUAUAUUAAUUCUACAUAUAUAUUUAUGUAAUAUUUUUACAUAAUUAGGUAUUUUAAUUAAUUACAAUUAGCGGGACCUCCCUGACAACCCAAUGCCGAAAGUAAAGGGAAUUUAAUUUGCUAGCACUAUAUUUAACCCUAUAACUUUCCAACACACCAUAACACCUGUACAUGGGGGGUACUGUUCUACUCGGAAGACUUCGCUGAACACAAAUAUUAGUGUUUCAAAACAGUAAAAUGUAUAACAACGAUGAUAUCACCAGUAAAAGUGAAGGUUUUUUUGCAUUUUUCACACACAAACAGCACUUACAUGGAAGAUAUUAUUGCUGUGAUACUUCUUACUGUUUUGAAACACAAAUAUUUGUGUUCAGCGAAGUCUCCCGAGUACAACAGUACCCCUCAUGUACAGGUUUUAUGGUGUUUUCAAAAGUUACAGCAUCAAAUAUAAGGCUUGUGUUUCAUUUUUUUCAUAUUAAAAUUCACCAGAUUGGUUACGUUGCCUUUGAGACCCUAUGGUAGCCCAAGAAUGAAAAUUACCCCUAUGCAAAUGAGGUAUGUCCAGUCUUUUUUGGUAGCCACUUAGUCAUAAACACUGGCCAAAAUUGGCAUUUUUUGCAUUUUUCACACACAAACAAAUAUUAACGCUAACUUUGGCCAGUGUUUGAGACCAAAUGGCUACUAAAAAAGACUGGACAUACCCCAUUUGCAAUACCUUGGGUUGUCUACUAUUGCAAGUGGUAUGCCAUUAUGGGUGUAAAUUUCAUUCCUGGGCUACUAUACAGUCUCAAAGGCAACGUAACCAAUCUGGCGAAUUUAAAUUUCAAAUGUAACGUGCUAUAUUUGACCCUGUAACUUCCCAAAACGCCAUAAAACCUGUACAUAGGGGGUACUGUUUUACACGUGAGACUUUGCUGAAUACAAAUAUGUGUAUUUUAUUGCAGUAAAAGCAAACAGUAUUAUGACAUUGACAGUUAAAAUGUCAUGUAGAACUAAAAAAAUAACAAAAUUUCUUAUUUUCUCCCAUUUUGUUUCAUAUUAAAUUAUGUUUCAUAGCUAAAUAUUUGAUAUUAAAUGAAAGCCCUGUUUCCCCUGAAUAAAAUGAUAUAUAAUAAGGGUGGGUGCAUUUAAUAUGAAAGAGGUGAAUAACGGUUGGACAGACAUGUAGCGCAAAUGCCAGGUUUUGUUUACGUUUUGUUUUGUUUUGUUCACAACUUGUACAUUUGGCUCAGUCCUUAAGGGGUUAAAGAGGAACUUAAACAUUAUUCACAACAUAUAAUUUGUGUUUAAACACAAUAGUGAACUAAAAGUUAGCCUUGCAGUCAAAACAUACCAUGCAAGUGUGCAAGUAUGGCUAUAUGGACUAUAGAAAGAAUGCCUGAGUGUGCAUAAGUGUUCUGGAGCAUUCUGGUACGACACACCAUAAGUAGAUCAGUGGUGCAAAGGUAAGUCCACUUUAUACUUACCACUGUUACCCUAUUCAUUCAGUGGAUAUAAGGAACUGUCAGCGUAGCCGUUUCAUCCCAGCAUAAUAGUGCUACAUUAAGUGACUCAUUGUGUCAUUCUUGCAACAUCAUUGAUGCAUCAUGUUCUGUUCCAAUGUCACAAAAGUAUGUCUUGCGACUGAUUCAGACCACUUCCCCCGUAGCCACACUUUUAGCCCAUACGAUGCAGACAUGGCAUGCUUAUUCUGGUUAUCAACUUUAGCUGUCUGGGUUUAUUGACUAUUCUGACCUAUCCAAUCCUGAUCUUUGCUGCUUCACCCUCUCUACCAUUAUUCUGUAAAUCUUCAACCUCGUCUUGAUGCUUGACCAAGCAUCCUCUGUUUCAUAAGUUUUGUAGAAAUUGCAAUGUUUCCAUCCUCUAGUAGCUGUCUUCCAAAGAAGCAUUUGAUUGGCACAGUGCGGAUAAUUUGUGCAACUGCACACCAGCCUCCAAAUGCUUGCCUAUGGGGCAGCAAUGUAUUGUCUGAGAUCAUUAAUCCUGGAUUGUCUGAGAUCAUUGGUGAGGGAGUAAAGGUGAGUAAUACUCACCUUUCAAGCCAUCAAAAUGCGGUGGUGGACACCAACAUGGGUAGAGUAAAACAAUAGAGUUAUAGAGUUAAUACACAAUGCCAUAGUGUUCCUUUAAACCCGGUUACCUCCAAGAAACAGUAAUAUUUUAUUUAUCUUUCCUAGAUUUACGUGUUGGGACGUUAUAAUAUCCUGUCACAUCUAGAGAAGAGAUAGUUGUGCUGUAAUGGCCGACAUGACCGGAAGAUAUCCAAUUGAUUUUUGUUUUUAGUGGAUAAUUGAUAUAUCUUAAACCUGCUCAUUUAGGGAUUGGAUCUGCAACCACCCGCCUUUAGAUAUUGACUAUAUGCAUGUAAGAUGGGCACGAUCAGGUACGUCUCUUUAUGCAGUCAAGAUUGCUGAUUGGUGGAUAAUCGAUAAACACAAGGAAAAUUAUAAAAUGAAAGAAAAUCCAUAAACUACUGUAGGCUCUAAAACACAAUGUAUUGCUGUUAAGGCAUAAACACUGUUAUAUUACUGUGUAAUAACUCACAAAAUCAUUUUCUUUAAAUCAUUUAUUUUAAGAUAAUUUAUUUAUCUGCCUUUUCUUUCUCAUUACUACUUAUAAAACAUCAAAUGUACACUGGAAUAGGGGUCAAUGUAAAUUGUACAUAUGUCCUGAAAAGGUUUGCCUCUGCUGUUUAAAUUUUGGCUAAACUUUUAGUGGGUAAUUUUCUGUCCAAUUGCAUGUUGGGAUUAUAGAAUAAUUACUUUUUAUUUGCAAGAACAUCUGUUAAUUCCCACUGGAGACUAAUGGUUCUAAUUUUCACUUGUUUCACGUUCAAAAUGUUAGAAAAGAUAUCCGUAAAAUAAUGUUUUCAGCUUGUUUAUGUAUGGUUCUGUUAUUUUCCUUUUGUGCCUGAAUGUUUUUAUAAGUGCAGUCUAUUUGGAUUUAAUAAACGUAAACAAAAUAGACACAAUUGUAAAAAUAAAAACCUUACUUUUGGAAAAUAAAAACAUUGUAUAAAUUAUCUAGAUGCUGUUUUGCAAUAGUUGUUUACGUGACCUGAAACUCAAUUUUUAAAUAUGCCAUCGAAUAGUCUCAUUGUCAUUUAUCAUAGGUUGUAAAAGUAUUUUUUCCUUACAUAAUAGCUUAAAAUAUAUGUGCUGAGUUUUCUCUUUUUUAAACUUUUGUUGUUUCAAACGUUCCCCCAACGUGUAGUUUCUUCAAAGCAGUACCCCAUGCAUGAUUUCGAUUAUGGAAUUCUCACAUCUGUUACCAACUUUACUUACGUAAACUAUUUUUAUUUGAAAUGUUUGUCACUGAAGGAAAACAAAGAAACUUCUCUAAAUUAUGUCAAACAAAGUAAACAAGUCAAUUUGCCUGCCAAAAAAACCUCCUAACAGGUCGAUUCCACUUCAUAGAAACUAAAACUAAUCAGACCAAAUGUUUUUAUUGACUCUGGUGAGACUAUGAUUCAUCUGCUAAUCUGCAUGUCUCUGUAAUAUAAAUGAGUCAAUCAGUUAUAUAACUGUUCAAUAGAAUUAAGGCUGUGAAUUUUGGAUGCGGUACACAGCGAGUAAAGAAAAGAAAAUAAUGAAUUCUUGUUUGUUUGUCUUGCGUUAUGUUUCAUUAAAUAUAAACAAAGUUAAGAUAUGAAUAGUAUAUUGUUUUAUCCAACAAAAACAUAAUAAUUGUGAUAUGUCUCAUUUAUAACCCUGCAAACUACGUAUAACAGAAACAAAGAAAUGGCGUAUUGUAAUGUGUUGCUUUUGAACUGUAGCAAGCAAUUCAUGAUCAGAUGUUUAGAAUGUUGGUUGCAUUCUCUUCAGAUGCUAAUUGAUUUCCUUGACAUCUCUUUUUAGUCUGGCACAGUGCCCGCCUAAGUACUUUGUCUGACCUUUUAGACCUCAUGCCAGAUAUCGAUUGAGAAUCUACAAUAGCAACGUUGUAUCUUCUCUUCAAUCUUUGAUAAUCUGCCAACAAGAGAGAGACAGGAAGUCAAUCGGUUGCAAAUGUUCUAUUAAUGUCUGUAUAUUAGUAUAUCCUUAU